GACGAACGCUGGCGGCGUGCUUAACACAUGCAAGUCGAACGGAAAGGCCCUGCUUUUGUGGGGUGCUCGAGUGGCGAACGGGUGAGUAACACGUGAGUAACCUCCCCUUGACUUUGGGAUAACUUCAGGAAACUGGGGCUAAUACCGGAUAGGAGCUCCUGCUGCAUGGUGGGGGUUGGAAAGUUUCGGCGGUUGGGGAUGGACUCGCGGCUUAUCAGCUUGUUGGUGGGGUAGUGGCUUACCAAGGCUUUGACGGGUAGCCGGCCUGAGAGGGUGACCGGCCACAUUGGGACUGAGAUACGGCCCAGACUCCUACGGGAGGCAGCAGUGGGGAAUAUUGCAGAAUGGGCGGAAGCCUGAUGCAGCAACGCCGCGUGCGGGAUGACGGCCUUCGGGUUGUAAACCGCUUUCGCCUGUGACGAAGCGUGAGUGACGGUAAUGGGUAAAGAAGCACCGGCUAACUACGUG
rnacentral:rRNA from 1 species